UACAGAGGGAGCAAGCGUUAUUCGGAAUUAUUGGGCGUAAAGGGCGCGUAGGCGGCCUGGCAAGUGGAAGGUGAAAUCCCUCGGCUUAACCGAGGAACUGCCCUCCAAACUGCUUGGCUUGAGUCCGGGAGAGGUGAGUGGAAUUCCCAGUGUAGAGGUGAAAUUCGUAGAUAUUGGGAAGAACACCGGUGGCGAAGGCGGCGACCUGGUCCGAUACUGACGCUGAGGCGCGAAAGCGUGGGGAGCAAACAGG
rnacentral:rRNA from 1 species